GUACUUUGACAGCACAUAUACUAAAAUUGGAAUGAUACAGGGAAGAUUAGCAUAGUCCCUGUGCAAAGAUGACAUGCAAUUUCAUGAAGAAUUCCUUUUUUUA
ensembl:snRNA U6 U6 spliceosomal RNA